rnacentral:rRNA from 1 species
CCUACGGGUGGCUGCAGUGGGGAAUAUUGGGCAAUGGAGGCAACUCUGACCCAGCAACGCCGCGUGAGCGAUGAAGGUCUUCGGAUUGUAAAGUUCUUUAAGCGGGGAUGAAGAAUGUGACUGUACCCGCAGAAUACGCCUCGGCUAACCACGGGCCAAGCGCCGCGGUAAUACGGAGGAGGCAAGCGUUAGCCGGAAUGACUGGGCGUAAAGGGUGCGUAGGUGGUUUGGCAAGUUGGUAGCGUAAGCCCGGGGCUCAACCGCGGUACUGCUACAAAAACUGGUGAGCUGGAGUGCAGGAGGGGUAAGUGGAAUUCCCGGUGUAGCGGUGGAAUGCGUAGAUAUUGGGAAGAACACCAGCGGCGAAGGCGAUUCACUGGACUGUAACUGACGCUGAGGCACGAAAGCGUGGGGAGCAAACAGGAUUAGAUACCCCUGUAGUC